rnacentral:rRNA from 1 species
GAUGUAGGCGAUGGGUAGGCAAAUCCGCCCGUCAUAUACCGAGGCCAAUGAUCGAGCCAGCUUGCUGGUGAAGUGACUGAACGAGGUUCCAGGAAAAGCCACUAAGCUUCAGCUACACACGACCGUACCGCAAACCGACACUGGUGCGCGAGAUGAGUAUUCUAAGGCGCUUGAGAGAACUCAGGAGAAGGAACUCGGCAAAUUGACACCGUAACUUCGGAAGAAGGUGUGCCCUAGUAGUGUGAAGUGAACAACGGAGCAUGAAUAGGUUGCAAAAAAUCGGUGGCUGCGACUGUUUAUUAAAAACACAGCUCUCUGCAAACACGAAAGUGGACGUAUAGGGUGUGACGCCUGCCCGGUGCUGGAAGAUUAAAUGAUGGGGUGCAAGCUCUUGAUUGAAGUCCCAGUAAACGGCGGCCGUAACGAUAACGGUCCUAAGGUAGCGAAAUUCCUUGUCGGGUAAGUUCCGACCUGCACGAAUGGCGUAACGAUGGCCACACUGUCUCCUCCUGAGACUCAGCGAAGUUGAAAUGUUUGUGAUGAUGCAAUCUCCCCGCGGAAAGACGGAAAGACCCCAUGAACCUUUACUGUAGCUUUGUAUUGGACUUUGAACAGAUCUGUGUAGGAUAGGUGGGAGGCUUUGAAGCAGGGUCGCUAGAUCUUGUGGAGCCAACGUUGAAAUACCACCCUGGUGUGUUUGAGGUUCUAACCUAGGUCCAUUAUCUGGAUCGGGGACAGUGCAUGGUAGGCAGUUUGACUGGGGCGGUCUCCUCCCAAAGCGUAACGGAGGAGUUCGAAGGUACGCUAGUUACGGUCGGACAUCGUGACGAUAGUGCAAUGGCAUAAGCGUGCUUAACUGCGAGACUGACAAGUCGAGCAGAUGCGAAAGCAGGACAUAGUGAUCCGGUGGUUCUGUAUGGAAGGGCCAUCGCUCAACGGAUAAAAGGUACUCUGGGGAUAACAGGCUGAUACCGCCCAAGAGUUCAUAUCGACGGCGGUGUUUGGCACCUCGAUGUCGGCUCAUCUCAUCCUGGGGCUGUAGCCGGUCCCAAGGGUAUGGCUGUUCGCCAUUUAAAGAGGUACGUGAGCUGGGUUUAAAACGUCGUGAGACAGUUUGGUCCCUAUCUUCCGUGGGCGCUGCAGAUUUGAGGAAGCCUGCUCCUAGUACGAGAGGACCGGAGUGGACACACCUCUGGUGUAUCGGUUGUCACGCCAGUGGCAUUGCCGAGUAGCUAAGUGUGGAAGAGAUAACCGCUGAAAGCAUCUAAGCGGGAAACUCGUUUCAAGAUGAGAUCUGCCGGGGCCUUGAGCCCCCUGAAGAGUCGUUCAAGACCAGGACGUUGAUAGGUCAGGUGUGGAAGCGCAGUAAUGCGUUAAGCUAACUGAUACUAAUUGCUCGUGCGGCUUGACC